CCUGCCCAAGAGAUCGGGAUAACACCUGGAAACAGAUGCUAAUACCGGAUAACAACAGAUGAUGCCUAUCAACUGUUUAAAAGAUGGUUCUGCUAUCACUCUUGGAUGGACCUGCGGUGCAUUAGCUAGUUGGUAGGGUAACGGCCUACCAAGGCGAUGAUGCAUAGCCGAGUUGAGAGACUGAUCGGCCACAUUGGGACUGAGACGACGGGCCCGAAACCUCCCUACCGGGAGGGCGAGCAGCA
rnacentral:rRNA from 1 species